rnacentral:rRNA from 1 species
GUCCACGCCGUAAACGUUGGGCACUAGGUGUGGGUCUCAACCAACGAGAUCCGCGCCGUCGCUAACGCAUUAAGUGCCCCGCCUGGGGAGUACGACCGCAAGGUUAAAACUCAAAGGAAUUGACGGGGGCCCGCACAAGCAGCGGAGCGUGUUGCUUAAUUCGAUGCAACGCGAAGAACCUUACCUGGGCUUGACAUGUACGGAAAAGCCGUAGAGAUACGGUGUCCUUCGGGGCCGUACACAGGUGGUGCAUGGCUGUCGU